rnacentral:lncRNA from 1 species
CUCCAUGAUACGAAACCUAGGAGCACUGGGUAAAGAAGAAAGAGAGAGAGGUCAAAGUUACCGGUGAUAGCACAAAAGUAGACAAGUCUCACUCCGUGCUAUGGUUUUUAGGGAGACAAUAUUGACAACGAGCACUAUAGUAACAGAUCCACACACUAAUGCCGGAGGGUAGGUCUUUGAGAAAAAUACAUGGAAUUAAUAAUGG